rnacentral:rRNA from 1 species
AGAGUUUGAUCCUGGCUCAGGACGAACGCUGGCGGCGCGCCUAACACAUGCAAGCCGAACGAGCGAGAGAGAGCUUGCUUUCUCAAGCGAGUGGCGAACGGGUGAGUAACGCGUGAGGAACCUGCCUCAAAGAGGGGGACAACAGUUGGAAACGACUGCUAAUACCGCAUAAGCCCACGGUGCCGCAUGGCACAGAGGGAAAAGGAGUAAUCCGCUUUGGGAUGGCCUCGCGUCCGAUUAGCUGGUUGGUGAGGUAACGGCCCACCAAGGCGACGAUCGGUAGCCGGACUGAGAGGUUGAACGGCCACAUUGGGACUGAGACACGGCCCAGACUCCUACGGGAGGCAGCAGUGGGGAAUAUUGCACAAUGGGGGAAACCCUGAUGCAGCGACGCCGCGUGGAGGAAGAAGGUCUUCGGAUUGUAAACUCCUGUUGUUGGGGAAGAUAAUGACGGUACCCAACAAGGAAGUGACGGCUAACUACGUGCCAGCAGCCGCGGUAAAACGUAGGUCACAAGCGUUGUCCGGAAUUACUGGGUGUAAAGGGAGCGCAGGCGGGAAGACAAGUUGGAAGUGAAAUCUAUGGGCUCAACCCAUAAACUGCUUUCAAAACUGUUUUUCUUGAGUAGUGCAGAGGUAGGCGGAAUUCCCGGUGUAGCGGUGGAAUGCGUAGAUAUCGGGAGGAACACCAGCGGCGAAGGCGGCCUACUGGGCACCAACUGACGCUGAGGCUCGAAAGUGUGGGUAGCAAACAGGAUUAGAUACCCUGGUAGUCCACACCGUAAACGAUGAUUACUAGGUGUUGGAGGAUUGACCCCUUCAGUGCCGCAGUUAACACAAUAAGUAAUCCACCUGGGGAGUACGACCGCAAGGUUGAAACUCAAAGGAAUUGACGGGGGCCCGCACAAGCAGUGGAGUAUGUGGUUUAAUUCGACGCAACGCGAAGAACCUUACCAAGUCUUGACAUCCCUUGACGAACAUAGAAAUAUGUUUUCUCUUCGGAGCAAGGAGACAGGUGGUGCAUGGUUGUCGUCAGCUCGUGUCGUGAGAUGUUGGGUUAAGUCCCGCAACGAGCGCAACCCUUAUGGUCAGUUACUACGCAAGAGGACUCUGGCCAGACUGCCGUUGACAAAACGGAGGAAGGUGGGGAUGACGUCAAAUCAUCAUGCCCUUUAUGACUUGGGCUACACACGUACUACAAUGGCGUUAAACAAAGAGAAGCAAGACCGCGAGGUGGAGCAAAACUCAGAAACAACGUCCCAGUUCGGACUGCAGGCUGCAACUCGCCUGCACGAAGUCGGAAUUGCUAGUAAUCGCAGAUCAGCAUGCUGCGGUGAAUACGUUCCCGGGCCUUGUACACACCGCCCGUCACACCAUGAGAGCCGGGGGGACCCGACGUCGGUAGUCUAACCGCAA